UACACGUGGACAACCUAACCUAUGGAGGGGGAUAACCCCGGGAAACUGGGGAUAAUACCCCAUAGACUAUGGAUGCUGGAAUGCUCUGUAGUUGAAAGGUCCGCCGCCAUAGGAUGGGUCUGCGGCCGAUUAGGUUGUUGUUGGGGUAACGGCCCAACAAGCCUGUAAUCGGUACGGGUUGUGGGAGCAAGAGCCCGGAGAUGGAUUCUGAGACACGAAUCCAGGCCCUACUGGGCGCAGCAGGCGCGAAAACUUUACAAUGCGGGAAACCGUGAUAAGGGAACUCCGAGUGCCCGUAAAAUCGGGCUGUCCAUCUGUUUAAAUAACAGGUGAAGAAAGGGCCGGGCAAGACCGGUGCCAGCCGCCGCGGUAAUACCGGCGGCUCGAGUGGUGGCCACUAUUACUGGGCUUAAAGCGUUCGUAGCUGGUUUGUUAAGUCUCUGGGGAAAUCUGCCGGCUCAACCGGCAGGCGUUCCAGGGAUACUGGCAGACUAGGGACCGGGAGAGGUGAGGGGUACUCCAGGGGUAGGAGUGAAAUCCUGUAAUCCUUGGGGGACCACCUGUGGCGAAGGCGCCUCACCAGAACGGCUCCGACAGUGAGGGACGAAAGCUGGGGGAGCAAACCGGAUUAGAUACCCGGGUAGUCCCAGCCGUAAACGAUGCGCGUUAGGUGUAUCGGUGACCACGAGUCACCGAGGUGCCGAAGAGAAAUCGUAAACGUGCCGCCUGGAAGUA
rnacentral:rRNA from 1 species